GCCAGGCUUGGUGACUCAUGCCUGUAAUCCCAGCAACUUGGGAGGCUGAGGCAGAAGGAUGUUUUGGACUAGCCUCAGCAACUUAGAUCCUGCCUCAA
rnacentral:sRNA from 1 species